rnacentral:rRNA from 1 species
UACGGAGGAUGCAAGCGUUAUCCGGAAUGAUUGGGCGUAAAGCGUCUGUAGGUGGUUUAUUAAGUCUACUGUUAAAGAUCAGGGCUUAACCCUGAGCAGGCAAUAGAAACUAAUAAGCUAGAGUACGGUAGGGGCAGAGGGAAUUCCCGGUGUAGCGGUGAAAUGCGUAGAGAUCGGGAAGAACACCAACGGCGAAAGCACUCUGCUGGGCCGAAACUGACACUGAGAGACGAAAGCUAGGGGAGCAAAUGGG